GAAGCGGUACGUGGAAUAUCAGGUCAAUUUUUGGCCCCCUCAGUUCAAGAGGGACAUGGAGGGAGAGGUUCAGGAAGGCGGUGAAGGGGCUGGGACAUCUGCUCCAUCUGGAUAUGCUGGGCAACAUGGGGUCUGAAUGGAGAUUGUCCCCUCUGAAACAGAUGGGCAUUUUAUUGUAGCUUGCAUUUAACAUACAGUGGCUCUUCCACCCACUCCUCCUGAAUCUGACACGACUUCACUUUGCUUUACCAGAAACCCAGCAUUUGAGAAUUCCAGGCAGGCUGGAGUAGGACAAUGCCUGUCCAAUCUGUUUGACCGCCUCCACUUUCAAUUCCAUAAAAUCUACAAGGAGACUCUUAUUCCCUAAGCUUCAUCUGAAGUCAUAACACAAGCACAAAACAAUACAUUUUCCACAAUUUAACAGGCUUUUGAUCAGACUUCAGGCUAAAUUCUUGUAACAAACCACCUCAGAAGAUGAGACACUGAUGCUGCUAAUACAUCAAGUCACAAGAAUUUAAUACAUUCUGUAUACUCAUGGUGUCCUUAUCACUAUGACAUCAACUUAUCCCCACCUUGAAUCCAACAGCUCUGGAAAUAAACUGUUUUCCUGAAACAUUUCACACCUUCAAUGGAUUCCUCUCCAAAUGCUGUUUAAACUUUCCAGUGUUGUAAAAAUGUUGGUUAUGACAAGCAAAACAGAAUCAGCUAAAGAAUAUAAAAUCAUAGAAUUAUUCAGGCUGGAAAAGACCUGAAAAUCUGAAAACCUCUGUAGCUUGGAUAACACCUGUAUCUACAUCUGUCUCUUUAUCUGACUCUAUCUGUAUCUGCGUCUUUACCCGUCUCUGUAUCUGUAUCAUGUACUGCAUUUACUGCAUUUUACAGUAUCCAGUAUCAGUUCUAUUAACAUAGGGUCUAAAAUGUUGAAAUAUUAUUUUUACUUUUCAAAACCUGAAAACCUUUUUUUUUAAUGAAACCUCACACAUUUUUUCUGCUUUAAAUUAGUCCAGAUGGAGAG
ensembl:lncRNA